rnacentral:rRNA from 1 species
AGAGAGAGACAUGCGCGCAUAUCAAUAAGCGGAGGAAAAGAAACUAACAAGGAUUCCCUUAGUAACGGCGAGUGAAGCGGGAAGAGCUCAAAUUUGAAAUCAUCAAGGUUUUACCUUGACGAAUUGUAGUUUAAAGAAGUGUUUUCUGCUGAAGUUUUGGUAAAAGUUCUUUGGAAUAGGACAUCAUAGAGGGUGAGAAUCCCGUAUUUGACCAUUAUUUUCAGCUUUGUGAUACACUUUCAAAGAGUCGGAUUGUUUGGGAAUGCAGUCCAAAAUGGGUGGUAAAUUUCAUCUAAAGCUAAAUAUUGGCGAGAGACCGAUAGCGAACAAGUACCGUGAGGGAAAGAUGAAAAGAACUUUGAAAAGAGAGUUAAACAGUACGUGAAAUUGUCAAAAGGGAAGCGUUUGACACCAGUGUUGUUUUCUCGAAAAUCAAUUAAAAAUGGCUCGAUUUUGUAUUGCUUGAGACCUUAAAAGCUCACUGUACAUUUUUCGUGUCUUUUUUAAUGCACUUUUCGUUUAACAAGUCAACAUCAGUUUCUUUUGUUGUAAAAGGGUCAUUGGAAGGUGGCUUUCUUUUCGGAGAAAGUGUUUAUAGCCUUUGGCCUCUGCAAUCGGAAGAGACUGAGGUCUGCAGCGUAGACUCUUCGGGGUUAGAUACAUUUGUGCUAAGUUAUAGCUUUUUAUAGACAACUUGUUGACUAUAAUUAGUCUUGUAGCUUACUCGCUUAUGCUAUUUUACCUACGCUUAGGAUGUUGAAGAUGUAGCACAUCAU